rnacentral:rRNA from 1 species
GUGGCGACCGGCGCACGGGUGCGUAACGCGUAUGCAACCUACCUAUUACAGAGGGAUAGCCCAGAGAAAUUUGGAUUAAUACCUCAUGACACUAUGAUAACACAUGUUGUUAUAGUUAAAACUCCGGUGGUAAUAGAUGGGCAUGCGUUAGAUUAGCUAGUUGGUAAGGUAACGGCUUACCAAGGCGACGAUCUAUAGGGGGUCUGAGAGGAUGGUCCCCCACACUGGAACUGAGACACGGUCCAGACUCC